rnacentral:rRNA from 1 species
UACGGAGGGUGCAAGCGUUAUCCGGAUUUACUGGGCGUAAAGGGCGCGCAGGCGGCUCAUUUUGUCAGGCGUGAAAGCCCCGAGCUUAACUUGGGAAUUGCGCUUGUGACUGGCGAGCUGGAGUGUGGCAGAGGGAGGUGGAAUCCACGUGUAGCAGUGAAAUGCGUAGAUAUGCGGAGGAACACCGAUGGCGAAGGCAAUCCCCUGGGCCUGCACUGACGCUCAUGCACGAAAGCGUGGGGAGCAAACAG